CCAAAGUUGUGGAGAAAUGGCAACUAGGAGAGAACAGAGAAUGGAGGAAGGGAAUAGGGGCUAGUAGAGAGGCGCUGCCAGGGUUUGUAGCGUGCAUCCCACCGUCCCAGCAUGCAUUGUGCUAACAGCUGGCUUUGCUUCACAGCACCAAGGUGGAGAGGCUGCGUCCUGUGGCUGUUUCCUUAGGACAGGCAAACAAAUGAGGUCCAUAGGCCUCAGGUGCACACAUCUGGGCUACAGGAUUCAGGAACCUUUAGAAGCCCAGAUCAAGCUGGCUCCAGUGCUCUCACCUGGACCGGAAAAGAACUGGUGAGUCAGCAAACUUCAUCAGCAAGAUUGGGCCCAGGCCAGAGAGGGCCUUGAGGACGGCCACAAGGAGCGGAGGGUGGAAGCAACAGCAGCAGCACGUUUGGAAAGAAAGGCGAAGACAGAACUAAAUGCCAGGUACGAGACUAGAGGGUUUUCUGAUGCGGCCUCAUAUAAUACUUUGGUCA
rnacentral:lncRNA from 1 species